rfam:Plicaturopsis crispa FD-325 SS-3 unplaced genomic scaffold PLICRscaffold_5, whole genome shotgun sequence.
CUCGACAUAGCUCAGUUGGAAGAGCGCGGGACUGUAAUGGAUAAUAUCGUUAUCCUGAGGUCGCUGGUUCGAUCCCGGCUGUCGAGA